rnacentral:rRNA from 1 species
UACGUAGGGGGCCAGCGUUGUACGGAUUUACUGGGCGUAAAGAGCGCGUAGGCGGUUUGGUACGCGGAGGGUGAAAUACCGGGGCUCAACUCCGGUGCUGCUCUCCGAACGGCCAGACUAGAGUACGGGAGAGGGUAGUGGAAUUCCUGGUGUAGCGGUGGAAUGCGUAAAGAUCAGGAAGAACACCCGUGGCGAAGGCUGCUACCUGGAACGUUACUGACGCUGAGGCGCGAAAGCUAGGGGAGCGAACGGG